AUCUUACUUCCUUCGUCCGGAAAUACUUGUCAUCAAAAUGAAUAAAAGAGAAUGUAUCUAGAUGUAUUUUAGUUUUGAAUACAUUCUUUUUUUCAUUUUGAUGACAAAUAUUUUCGGACAGAGGGAGUACGUG
rfam:Triticum aestivum genome assembly, contig: Triticum_aestivum_CS42_TGACv1_scaffold_289954_4AL